rnacentral:lncRNA from 1 species
GAGAAACCCUGUCUCUACUAAAAAUACAAAAUUAGCUGGGUGUGGUGGCACAUGCCUGUAAUCCCAGCUACUCGGGAGGCUGAGGCAGGAGAAUCACUUGAACCCGGGAGGCAGAGAUUGCAGUGAGCUGAGAUCCCGCCGCUGCACUCCAGUCGGGGCGACAGAGCGAGACUCCAUCCCCACCCCCUCAAAAAAGAGAGGAGCCCAAAAGGCCCCUUCUAGGCCAAAGACUCUCUAAAGAAAAAAAGAGAAGAGGCCGGGUGCAGCGGCUCACGCCUUUAAUCCUGGCACUUUGGGAGGCUGAGGCGGGUGAAUCACCUGAGGUCAGGAUUUCGAGACCAGCCUGGCCAACAUGGUGAAACCCCAUCUCUACUAAAAAUAUAAAAUUAGCUGGGCAUGCUGGUGGGCGCUUGUAAUCCCAGGUACUUGGGAGACUGCGGCAGGAGAAUCACUUGAACCCAGGAGGCAGAGGUUGUAGUGAGCUGAAACAAUGCCAUUACACGCCAGACUGGACGAUCGGAGUGAAACUUUGCAUCUCAAAAAAAGAAAAAAAGAAAAAAACAGAAGAGAAAUGACUAACUUUUGAGGGACAACCAUAUAUUAGAGUCCAAUACAGUAGCCACAAGCCACACAUGGUCAAUGAACACUUGAAAUAGCACUACUGCCACAUGUGGGAUUCAACGAAUUCUUUUUUUUGUUUUUUUUUUUGAGACAGAGUCUCGCUCUGUUGCCCAGGCUGGAGUGCAGUGGCACCAUCUCGACUCACUGCAAGCUCCGCCUCCUGGGUUCACACUAUUCUCCUGCCUCAGCCUCCUGAGUAGCUGGGACUACAGGCGCCUGCCACCACGCCUGGCUAAUUUUUUGUAUUUUUGGUAGAGACGGGGUUUCACCUUGUUAGCCAGGAUGGUCUCGAUCUCCUGACCUCGUGAUCCACUGUCUCAGCCUCCCAAAGUGCUGGGAUUACAGGAGUGAGCCACCACGCCCGGCCUUCAACGAAUUCUUAAAUUCUUUUUUUUGAGACAGAGUCUCAC